CUUAGACAAUGGGCGCAAGCCUGAUCUAGCCAUGCCGCGUGUGUGAUGAAGGCCCUAGGGUCGUAAAGCACUUUCGCCAGGGAUGAUAAUGACAGUACCUGGUAAAGAAACCCCGGCUAACUCCGUGCCAGCAGCCGCGGUAAUACGGAGGGGGUUGGCGUUGUUAGGAAUUACUGGGCGUAAAGCGUACGUAGGCGGAUUAGUCAGUCAGAGGUGAAAUCCCAGGGCUCAACCCUGGAACUGCCUCUGAUACUGCUAGUCUUGAGUUCGAGAGAGGUGAGUGGAAUUCCAAGUGUAGAGGUGAAAUUCGUAGAUAUUUGGAGGAACACCAGUGGCGAAGGCGGCUCACUGGCUCGAUACUGACGCUGAGGUACGAGAGUGUGGGGAGCAAACAGGAUUAGAUACCCUGGUAGUCCACACCGUAAACGAUGAAUACCAGUCGUCGGGCAGUAUACUGUUCGGUGACACACCUAACGGAUUAAGCAUUCCGCCUGGGGAGUACGGUCGCAAGAUUA
rnacentral:rRNA from 1 species